GUCUACGGCCACGCUACCCUGAACAAGCCCGAUCCCGUCUGACCUUGGAAGCUAAGCAGGGUGGGGCCUGGUUAGUACUUAGAUAGGAGACCACCUAGGAAGACUAGAUGCUGUAGGCA
rnacentral:rRNA from 1 species